rnacentral:rRNA from 1 species
AGACACUGCUAUUGGGGUUCGGCUAAGCCAUGCGAGUGGAGGGCGUCCCGCAAGGGAUGGCCCCGCGGACGGCUCAGUAACACGUCGUCAACCUACCUUGAGGUGGGGGAUAACCUCGGGAAACUGAGGACAAUACCCCAUAGGUGAGGGAGGCUGGAAUGCGCCCUCGCUGAAAGCUCAGGCGCCUCAAGAUGGGACGGCGGCCUAUCAGGUAGUUGGUGGUGUAACGGACCACCAAGCCUACAACGGGUACGGGCUGUGAGAGCAGGAGCCCGGAGAUGGGGACUGAGACAAGGCCCCAGGCCCUACGGGGCGCAGCAGGCGCGAAAACUCCGCAAUGCGCGCAAGCGUGACGGGGGAACCCCAAGUGCCGUUGAUCUUUUGAUCGGCGGCUUUUCGGGAGUGUAAAGAGCUCCCGGAAUAAGGGCUGGGUAAGACUGGUGCCAGCCGCCGCGGUAAUACCAGCAGCCCCAAGUGGUGG